UACGUAGGGUGCGAGCGUUAAUCGGAAUUACUGGGCGUAAAGCGUGCGCAGGCGGUUCGUUGUGUCCUGUGUGAAAGCCCCGGGCUUAACCUGGGAAUGGCAUGGGAAACUGGCGAGCUUGAGUGCGGCAGAGGGGGGUGGAAUUCCGCGUGUAGCAGUGAAAUGCGUAGAGAUGCGGAGGAACACCGAUGGCGAAGGCAGCCCCCUGGGUCGACACUGACGCUCAGGCACGAAAGCGUGGGGAGCAAACAGG
rnacentral:rRNA from 1 species